rnacentral:rRNA from 1 species
AUUAAACUGAAGAGUUUGAUCCUGGCUCAGAUUGAACGCUGGCGGAAUGCUUUACACAUGCAAGUCGAACGAUGAACCUUAGCUUGCUAGGGGGAUUAGUGGCGAACGGGUGAGUAAUAUAUCGGAACGUACCUUGUAAUGGGGGAUAACUAGUCGAAAGAUUAGCUAAUACCGCAUACGCCCUGAGGGGGAAAGUAGGGGAUCUUCGGACCUUACGUUAUAAG